CAAGCGGUGGAGCAUGUGGUUUAAUUCGAUGCUACGCGAAGAACCUUACCAGGUCUUGACAUCUUCUGCCAACCUAAGAGAUUAGGCGUUCCCUUCGGGGACAGAAUGACAGGUGGUGCAUGGUUGUCGUCAGCUCGUGUCGUGAGAUGUUGGGUUAAGUCCCGCAACGAGCGCAACCCUUAUUGUUAGUUGCCAGCAUUCAGUUGGGCACUCUAGCAAGACUGCCGGUGACAAACCGGAGGAAGGUGGGGAUGACGUCAAAUCAUCAUGCCCCUUAUGACCUGGGCUACACACGUGCUACAAUGGACGGUACAACGAGUUGCGAAACCGCGAGGUCAAGCUAAUCUCUUAAAGCCGUUCUCAGUUCGGAUUGUAGGCUGCAACUCGCCUACAUGAAGUUGGAAUCGCUAGUAAUCGUGGAUCAGCAUGCCACGGUGAAUACGUUCCCGGGCCUUGUACACACCGCCCGUCACACCAUGAGAGUUUGUAACACCCAAAGCCGGUGAGGUAACCUUCGGGGACCAGCCGUCUAAGGUGGGACAGAUGAUUAGGGUGAAGUCGUAACAAGGUAACC
rnacentral:rRNA from 1 species